UACGGGGGGGGCAAGCGUUGUUCGGAAUUACUGGGCGUAAAGGGUCCGUAGGUGGCUUGCUAAGUCAGACGUGAAAUCCCUCGGCUCAACCGGGGAACUGCGUCUGAGACUGGCGAGCUUGAGUGCAGGAGAGGAACGCGGAAUUCCAGGUGUAGCGGUGAAAUGCGUAGAUAUCUGGAGGAACACCGGUGGCGAAGGCGGCGUUCUGGACUGUAACUGACACUGAAAGACGAAAGCCAGGGGAGCAAAC
rnacentral:rRNA from 1 species